CGAUAAUGCCCCGGGAGCGCCUGUAGUCAGAGAAUCACAGCCCGUAUGUGUGGGGGGCAUCUACUGGCCAGCCCUGGACUCCCUGACUAGUAAUGAUCCCAGAGCCACGUUCACACAACCGUCAGGCCCCUUUCACAUGAAUUGCCUUUCAGGGUGUCUGGCUCCAGCCAAUGCAUGAGAGAGGCGUGCUUGGAGAAGAUCCUGCCCUCGCGGAGCAAUUUGGACCAAGCCAAAAGCCAUGGAUGUGGAGAAGCUCAUUGUCCUUGUCCAGGAGAGGCCCUGCAUUUGGGACACAAGGUCGGGGGAAUACCAUAUGACCGGUACAGGAGGCAGCGAGGGUGGACAUAGCCCAGGAGUUCACAGCCAUAUGGGAUAAAACUAAAGGCCAGAGUGUGGAACGGAGGACAACCUUGAGGAGGAAGCAGACGAGUCGGCUCCCCAGCACUCAAGCACCUGUGAGGACGAGACUCCCUCUGGUCCACCUCCUUCAGAGACUGCAGAAAGACCCGCCACCUCUGCAGCCUCGUGUCCCGCUGCUUCGGGAGUCUAUUCCCCCCCCCACACACAUACACACUUUUCCCCUACCCAGCUGGCAAAGGAGAUGCCUCCUGCCGAAGCUCUGGUCAAUAGCCAGGUCCUGGAUUAUUAUUUGGCUAGAGCCUGGCAGGAGGACCAGUUUAACUUAUAUUCAAGAAGUCUGGCCUUAUUUGCGGAGUUUGCCUCCAGAACGAUUGCUGAUAACCAAAGGAGCUCUCGGAAUCGUUCUGGAGGCAGCCACUCCGCCAAAUGAUCCGACAGACAUUUUUGUCGCCCUGGAAAAUUGGUGCACCCAUGGGCACAUGUCUGGCCCCAGCCCAAUGGCCAUUCCACAGGGUCCGCCAAACUUCCCCAGUUAGUAGGGUACGUUGUGGCCUACCAAGUCGGCCAUAUGGCUCACCAUAUCAGGCCAGACUUCCUAUGGGCAGCCUGUCCCCUCCUCAUCUCAGGCUGGCCCAUCUGUGCACUCUGGCCCCCCUACACAACCCUCCCGCCAUGGCUCACAGUUUCAGGGUCCCCCAUUGCCACCUGGCCGGUUCCUGAAUUAGUAAAUGUUAUUUUCUAUAUUUUCUAUAUGUUAUUAUGAAAAAAAAAGGCAAGUUGACUCAUCUGCA